UGAAAGUCCGCAUUUCGUUUGUUUAUUUUGUCUAUUGAUUUUACGAGUGGGCUUGGAUUUUUUUAUAGAUGGGCUUUGAUUUACAUUAUUUGGGCUAAAAAUCAACGAAAAAGUAUCUCAUUUCAUGCUCCUAUCCUCUUCUCUCCUUCUCUUCUUCACGAGCGUUGAUCAUUGGUUUCUAGGAUUCAUCCUCUACUGCAAUCUCUGAUUAUGUCAACCAACGAUGGCGGUUUUGAAAGGUUUAGUGAGAC
rnacentral:lncRNA from 1 species